CGAGGACUGGAGGCUUGUUUUUUGGCUCUUGGGGGUUCUGAAAGAAGUAGAGGUUCGGGAUGGGUGGAGGAGUGCUGUAUCCCCAAAUCUCAUUGUCUCUAUCUCCCUGACUCAGCUCACCCCAGAGGAAGAGGAGAAGCGAAGGGUGCGCCGGGAACGAAAUAAACUAGCAGCAGCUAAAUGCAGGAACCGGCGGAGAGAGCUGACCGACCGACUCCAGGCGGAGACAGAUCAGUUGGAGGAAGAAAAAGCAGAGCUGGAGUCGGAGAUCGCCGAGCUCCAAAAGGAGAAGGAACGUCUGGAGUUUGUGCUGGUGGCCCACAAACCGGGCUGCAAGAUUCCCUACGAAGAGGGGCCCGGGCCGGGCCCGCUGGCGGAGGUGAGAGAUUUGCCGGGCUCAGCACCGGCUAAGGAAGAUGGCUUCAGCUGGCUGCUGCCGCCCCCGCCACCACCGCCCCUGCCCUUCCAGACCAGCCAAGACGCACCCCCCAACCUGACGGCUUCUCUCUUUACACACAGUGAAGUUCAAGUCCUCGGCGACCCCUUCCCCGUUGUUAACCCUUCGUACACUUCUUCGUUUGUCCUCACCUGCCCGGAGGUCUCCGCGUUCGCCGGCGCCCAACGCACCAGCGGCAGUGACCAGCCUUCCGAUCCCCUGAACUCGCCCUCCCUCCUCGCUCUGUGAACUCUUUAGACACACAAAACAAACAAACACACGGGGGAGAGAGACUUGGAAGAGG
rnacentral:sRNA from 1 species